CCUACGGGAGGCAGCAGUAGGGAAUUUUCGGCAAUGGGGGGAACCCUGACCGAGCAACGCCGCGUGAACGAAGAAGUUAUUCGUAAUGUAAAGUUCUAUCAGCAGGAACGAGACAAGACGGUACCUGACUAAGAAGCCCCGGCUAACUACGUGCCAGCAGCCGCGGUAAUACGUAGGGGGCAAGCGUUAUCCGGAAUCACUGGGUGUAAAGGGAGCGUAGACGGCUGUGCAAGCCUGAAGUGAAAGGCGGGGGCCCAACCCCUGGACUGCUUUGGGAACUGUACGGCUGGAGUGCAGGAGAGGUAAGUGGAAUUCCUAGUGUAGCGGUGAAAUGCGUAGAUAUUAGGAGGAACACCAGUGGCGAAGGCGGCUUACUGGACUGUAACUGACGUUGAGGCUCGAAAGCGUGGGGAGCAAACAGGAUUAGAUACCCGGGUAGUC
rnacentral:rRNA from 1 species